AUUGAACGCUGGCGGCAGGCUUAACACAUGCAAGUCGAGCGAGCGGCGGACGGGUGAGUAAUGUCUGGGAAACUGCCUGAUGGAGGGGGAUAACUACUGGAAACGGUAGCUAAUACCGCAUAACAUCAGAUGUGCCCAGAUGGGAUUAGCUAGUAGGAGUGGUAAUGGCUCACUGAGGCGAAGAUCACUAGCUGGGCUGAGAGGAUGACCAGCCACACUGGAAUUGAGACACGGUCCAGACUCCUACGAGAGGCAGCAGUGGGGAAUAUUGCACAAGAGGCGCAAGCCUGAUGCAGCCAUGCCGCGUGUGUGAAGAAGGCCGUCGGGUUGUAAAGCACUUUCAGCGAGGAGGCGUUACUCGCAGAAGAAGCACCGGCUAACUCCGUGCCAGCGGCCGCGGUAAUAC
rnacentral:rRNA from 1 species